AUUACAGGCGUGAGCUACCGCGCCCAGCCAGAAGGUAUUAUUAAGACAAUUUCAACAGUAAUUUGCGGAGAAAUAAAAUCAGUAAAGGAAGAAAGAUUGAAAUACAACAGAAACAAGAAAUAAUAAAUGCAGGAAAAUUCUAGAGAAACUAAGAUAGGCUAGAGUCAGAAAUGUAAAUAGAACUUAGUUUUGAUGGAGAACAAAACAGUUGUAAGAGGACAGAAGAUGAUUUGUAAUGUAGAGAAAUUAAGAUUAAAAAUGAUAGCAGUUGGGAAAGUGUGUUAUUGGCUUACAUCACAUUGACUAAGAGUUCUCAGCACUACCUUACAUGUAGGGAAUCUUUAAGAAAACAGUCUACGUAGAACAUAGAACAUAGUCUAUGUUCUACAUAGACUGUUUUCGUCCUUUACCAUGACUCCACUAGCUUUGUCAGAAUCCUUUCUUUAACCAGGGUUCUAGUUAUGUUACCCAUCUUGACAAAGGACCAUCAUUGCCUCUCUUCAAACUUCAUAGCAGCCCUCAUCAUUAAUCUGGACACAGGUCAAACCUGUCCAGGGACCCUCAGCCAGUUCUGGUAAAAGAAGAACAAUGCAGCAAGAGAAUUGAGGAUAUUUUUGAGAAUGGAUUCAACUUCUGGAUAUCACAAACCAAAUUGUGGCACAGAAAGACAAUUCAUAAAUGUCUUCUUCAAAAUGGGCCAAUUAGGCCGAAGUUGAGAAUUUGGGGAAAAGUACAAAAUUGAGAUGAUCAAGAACUAAUUCUAGCUACAUUGCUGAAUGGAAAAACUAAGUAACAUGAAGCAGAUAACCUAUCUGUUGAUAACUGAGACUAAGAAAAUACAAACUAUUGAAAAAGUGAUGUGAUAUGACUUUAACUUAGCAUGAAAUGAAGAGACACCAGAGUAUAUACAGUAAGUCUAUAAUCAGUAAUGUCUCAUUCAUGUAUGUCACCCACCUUUAAGUUUAGCCAAUUAUCAAAAUACAGUUAUAUAACUACUUUUCCAUAUUUUUGUAAGGUAAAUGUAUAAUUACUGAAAGUAAAAAAUAGUCGGAAUGCAACAUAUAGCAACAGUAAAAACAAAAAACAACAAAAGAUAAUUAUUUAGGAUUGAAGCAGAAUAACAAAAAAGAGUGAAAAAAUGCAAAAGAAAAUUAAAUAUAGCAAUAACCAUUAUCAUAUAAUAAACUGGAAGGCACUAAAUUUCAAUCAUAUUUGCUGAAAGACAUUACAAAAGUUACUAGUAAAUUACUGUUGCUAUUACCUCUUAUGUUUCCUUUCACAUUAACCCACAUAAAUAAAAUACUUAUAAAUUUACUCUUUAGUUUUUAAUCAAUUUUAUAAACUAUUUUAUUAUCAACUCUUAGUUAAUUUCAUAGGGAUGAAGGAAGUCACACAUAACUCUAAAUCACUUAGAAACAACAGUCAAGGUGACCAACCAUGGCACAUAAUUCCUAAUUUAUACUAGCUAAGCCUUCCACCACAUUAUUUCUUUACCUAAAGGAUCUCAAAUGUUGUCACUGGCUCAAAUCUCUAAAUCUCCAUACAGCCUUGAGAACUUUUCAGAUUUUAGAGAUCUUCUCUCUCUUUUCUUUCUAAUUAACCCCUCUUUCUAGUUAACCCUUCUUGCUAUUAUAUGCCAGGUAACUGAGAUUUCCCUCCAAUGUAAAUUAUAUUUCCUUAAGGCAUUGUAGCUGUACUAUCUAUGAUUCACUGCAAAUUCCCACUUUGGAAAGAGAAAUGGUGGUAGGGUAGAAAUGAACAAGUGUUUUCUCACAGACUCAGUAUUCUCUGCAGAUAAGGAUUAUCUACUAUGACAAAGGAGUAGAUUACAGCCACCUCUGACAAGGCAACCACAAACAAAUCAGUUCAACCUAAGCACUUCAAGGACAGAUUCCUCUACUCUGGAGGUGGGAAAGUGAGUUUUCAAGACCUAUGCCAUCUAAAUACCUAAUUAUGGACUCUGCUGAGGAAGAGACUUCCAGAAUCACUACUAUAUGAACAGGCAACAGACUUUCACAGACUUUUUCACUAGCUCCUCUUCGUGGUCUUUGGCAAGUGACUUUUCUCAGACUCCUCAACCAUUGUCUUACAACCUUCCUAAAACAAUUCCCAGUUUCUCCCACCACUUUGUAAAGUUUAAUCUUUAAAAUAAAUAUCUUAUUUGGUAGUACUUCAGCACUAAAUGCUUUGGCUUCCUCACUGAGGCUUAAAUUAUAUUUCAGUCAUUAAUCCACCUAGAGUUUAGU
rnacentral:lncRNA from 1 species